AUUGAACGCUGGCGGCAUGCUUUACACAUGCAAGUCGAACGGUAACAGGCCGCAAGGUGCUGACGAGUGGCGAACGGGUGAGUAAUGCAUCGGAACGUGCCCAGUCGUGGGGGAUAACGCAGAGAAAGCUGCGCUAAUACCGCAUACGAACUACGGAUGAAAGCGGGGGACCGGAAGGCCUCGCGCGAUUGGAGCGGCCGAUGUCAGAUUAGGUAGUUGGUGGGGCAAAGGCUCACCAAGCCAACGAUCUGUAGCUGGUCUGGGAGGACGACCAGCCACACUGGGACUGAGACACGGCCAAGACUCCUACGGGAGGCAGCAGUGGGGAAUUUUGGACAAUGGGCGCAAGCCUGAUGCAGCAAUGCCACGUGUAGGAAGAAGGCCUUCGGGUUGUAAACUGCUUUUGUACGGAACGAAGAGGCUCCCGCUAAUACAGGUGGCUCUUGACGGUACCGUAAGAAUAAGCACCGGCUAACUACGUGCCAGCCGCCGCCGUAAAAC
rnacentral:rRNA from 1 species